CAUUUAUUCUUAUAGGCACUGCUACGAUGACAUUUUGAAUUGCACAGAACUUUUUGACAUCGAUUCUUGCUGAUACUUAUUACUCUUACAAUAAUUCAUGAAGUGGCACAUGAUGAAACCUUGCUGGGACUCAGAGGAAAAUCCUGAUGCUUUCCGUACCGUACUACUAGAAACACAUGCCUUGAUUUGUUUCAGAACGGUCUGUAGUCGUUCAAAAUGCUUAGAACGCGUAUCGGUUUUUGUAGAAUUGCGCAAAACCUGUUGCGAUUGCCUCAUCAUGGCCACCAGGCGAAGUGGUGUUGAGCAUCGGUGUUUGGUCGUUUCGAACUCACAGCAGUGCUUUGUGGCUGCUUUUCUCGGUCAUUGUGAGAUUUCGGUGUUUGGGCUUAAUA
rnacentral:lncRNA from 1 species